GCUGGGUGUGGUGGUGCACACCUGUAAUCCCAGCUACUCAGGAGGCUGAAGCAGGAGGAUCACUUGAGCCCAGGAGUUUGAGGCUGCAGUGAGGUAUAAUCACACUACUGCACUCUAUCCUGUGCAACAGAGCGAGAUCCUGUCUCAA
ensembl:misc_RNA Metazoa_SRP Metazoan signal recognition particle RNA